UAACACCUGGAAACAGAUGCUAAUACCGGAUAACAACAGAUGAUGCCUAUCAACUGUUUAAAAGAUGGUUCUGCUAUCACUCUUGGAUGGACCUGCGGUGCAUUAGCUAGUUGGUAGGGUAACGGCCUACCAAGGCGAUGAUGCAUAGCCGAGUUGAGAGACUGAUCGGCCACAUUGGGACUGAGACACGGCCCAAACUCCUACGGGAGGCAGCAGAG
rnacentral:rRNA from 1 species